UGGGGAAUUUUGGACAAUUGGGCGAAAGCCUGAUCCAGCAAUGCCGCGUGUGUGAAGAAGGCCUUCGGGUUGUAAAGCAAACUUUUGUCCGGAAAGAAAUCCUUGGCUCUAAUACAGUCGGGGGAUGACGGUACCGGAAGAAUAAGCACCGGCUAACUACGUGCCAGCAGCCGCGGUAAUACGUAGGGUGCAAGCGUUAAUCGGAAUUACUGGGCGUAAAGCGUGCGCAGGCGGUUUGCUAAGACCGAUGUGAAAUCCCCGGGCUCAACCUGGGAACUGCAUUGGUGACUGGCAGGCUAGAGUAUGGCAGAGGGGGGUAGAAUUCCACGUGUAGCAGUGAAAUGCGUAGAGAUGUGGAGGAAUACCGAUGGCGAAGGCAGCCCCCUGGGCAAGUACUGACGCUCAUGCACGAAAGGCGUGGAGAGCAAACAGGAUUUAGAUACCCUGGUAGUCCACGCCCUAAACGAUGUAACUAGUUGUUGGGGCA
rnacentral:rRNA from 1 species